rnacentral:lncRNA from 1 species
CCAUAAACGGGUAAACUCGUUCAUACACAUAUAAACGAGUGCCCUGUUGUCUAAGGUAUAGCCCCUGAGCAGCGGUAAGGUCUCCCCAGCAAAGAUCCCAUCCACGCCGCUCAGGAUCUUCCCCAAGACAAGACAUACCUCAGCAGCCACCAACUUGGAGUCUGGAUAGCCCUCCUUGAUGAUGGCCAGCCGAAGAGAAGCCACAUCCUUUGAACAGGUCCCCGGUUAAUGACCCCGAGGUCCCCUCGAAGACCCUACCCCCUCAGAAGAGGAAGCGGACAUCACAACUCUAGCACCCCCGCUGUCAUCAGAAGUACCAGCAGGGGGACCAGACAUCUAUGCCAGUUGGGAGAGCACCCCGGUAGCCAAACACCACCAGUAUUGACAACCUGCCCUCUAACCUUCCUCCGCUUUCGCCUGGCCGCCCCAGACAAACGAGCCUUCCGCAGACCAGGUUUACUUACGGAGGAACCACCAACAGAA